UCUCUCCUGCUUGCAGGUUCUCUGCGCUCCAGAGCCACACAUGACCCUGCGGAGAUGACCGUCCUCGAGGUCAGCAACGUGCUACCAAUUUCACCUGAUCACUGUGUGCAGAAUCCGGAAAGCCUAGGUGUGGUCCCCAAGGGUAAUCUCCAAAGGGUGCGUCUUCCGUGACCCAGCUGGGAUUUCAACCCCGCGUGCUUGCUCGUAGCGCCCCAGCCUCCACGUCACGUUCUUUACGAGUUAACGGUGCAUUUACUGAAGGCAGAGUUAGCCCUCUGUCAGGACACACGUGUGAGAGUGGGUUUCUGCCUGGCGCAAUUCGAUAUACUGGCUAUUAAGCCGCCGAAAGACGGCUGAGGUCUAGACUCGCUUGCUGACGGACCCUGGCAGUGCGUUGUUCGGGAUGGGUUCGGAUGCAAGGAAACAUGACGCCCACUCAGUUCUGUCCCAGAUGCACCGAAGAAUUCGAGACCGGAGCCCAGAAUGGGGAGGGAGAGUUGACUGAGUAGAGGGAGAACUCGACGCCAAUGUCCUAUUCGACAGAGACCGCAGCAACCUGGAUGCCUCGCGGACGGCAGAGGGGAGCUUCGGAAAAUUCAUUCCACGUGUGACGGGAGACCCCCAACUGUGGGAAUGGACGCGAAAACUGGAAGAUGCACUCCCCGAAGACCUGGGCGCCUGCUGCUGUCUCCCUCUGACGUCCGCGGCACGAGGCUUUGUCACGUGCGGCCACGGCCUGGCUGACACGGAGCGCCAGCGCCCAGACGCUGCGAAGGUACUUGUCGUCUCCCUGUGGCUCCAGUGUGACCGUCUGUCCUGUCUUUUCAUUUCCUGCAUCAGCAACACCCCACCCCCCCACCGCCCCCGGUGGGUCUGGGCUGCCUCUCCCCGCGUCCUCACUAGCACCAGGGGAGGCGAUGGUUAGUGCAGCUGACGGGUGACCAGCUGCGGUGGGGCGCAGACCUGACCUUCCUGGCCCCCUGGUCGUGGGGCAGGACCUGGCAGCUAGUUCUGGCCCGUGAGCGGGAGUGAGUACGUCGUUCCUGGGUUGGGGCGUUGAAUAGCCUGUGUGUGACUUUCUAGAAUCCCCCGCUGAAGUAAUUACGGAAGCAGAAGUGAAUUUGGAGCCCCCCCAUAGGCUCAGACCCCCGAGUGGCUGGAGGGACCAGAAUGUCCCUGCCCACCUGCAAAGUCAUGGAGCAGGAGGGAGAAAUAAGUCCGUUUUGAGCCUGAGGUUGGUAAGCCACGGCCUGCAGUCCAAAUCUG